AUCUGAUAAGAGCAGUCCUGUAAAUGUCAAGUGGAAGUAGAAUGAAUCUGCGAUAUUCAAAUUUGAACGCGCACAGGAAUGAAUCACCUGGGAAUCCUGUUGAAAUGCAGACUCUGACUCAAUAUCAUUGACAUGAAAGAUGCCGACAAAUUCCCUGGAAAACCGUGCAGUCACGUCGGUCCGCGGGCGCGCUGCUUUCGCGGGGAGGAAUGGAUGCGGCCAGGGCUGCUCUCAGCAAUGAAGAAACUGAGGCCCAGGGUGGAAGCCAGAUCCGGCCAAAGUCACCUGGCAGGCCAAGAGCAGCGAGAUGACUCAAGCCCCAGUGCACCCUACUGGAGAG